AGGGGUGAGCAUCGAUUCAAAACCGAACCGAACCGACCCAAAAUGACAAAACCGAAACCGAACCGACUUGCCAUUACUUCGGACCGAACCGAACCGCCCUCAUGCUAAAAACCGACCAAAACCGAACCGGACGAAACCAAUCGGUUUCGGUCGGUAACCGAACCGACAACCUGUUUUUUCGAAAAAAGCAUUAAAAUCAAUAAAUUACUCAUGAAUUCACUAAUCUGCCUGCCAUAAACGAAAUCUGCUCAUGAAUUCACAAACUAACAUGAAUUCACUAAAAUAUAACAUGAAUUCACUAUUCAACUCAUUCAAAAUCUGCCAUAAACGAAAAUAUAAGUAUAUAACAUGAAUUCACUAAAAUAAAACACGAAUUCAAAAUCUGUUGCUGCUGCGUCGCGCGGUGCUGCUAAUCGCCGAGCAGCCUGCUGCUAGUCGCUGAGCAGC
rnacentral:lncRNA from 1 species